GUGAACGCUGGCGGCGUGCCUAACACAUGCAAGUCGAACGAUGAUGGAGAGCUUGCUCUCCUGAUUAGUGGCGCACGGGUGAGUAAUGCAUAGAUAAUGUGCCCCUUAGUUCGGGAUAGCCACUGGAAACGGUGAUUAAUACCGGAUACUCCUUCUUGCCUCAAGGUAAGUCGGGAAAGUUUUUCGCUAAGGGAUCAGUCUAUGUUCCAUCAGGUAGUUGGUGAGGUAAUGGCUCACCAAGGCAAUGACGGGUAGCGGUUCUGAGAGGAUGAGCCGCCACACUGGUACUGAGACACGGACCAGACUCCUACGGGAGGCAGCAGUGAGGAAUAUUGCACAAUGGGGGAAACCCUGAUGCAGCAACGCCGCGUGGAGGAUGACGCAUUUCGGUGUGUAAACUCCUUCUAUAUGUCAAGAAAAUGACGGUAGCAUAUGAAUAAGCACCGGCUAACCCCGU
rnacentral:rRNA from 1 species